GCUGCCGUAGCUCAGUGGUAGAGCACCCCCUUGGUAAGGGGGAGGUCCAAAGUUCAAUCCUUUGCGGCAGCACCA
rnacentral:tRNA from 1 species